rnacentral:rRNA from 1 species
UUUUAACGGAGAGUUUGAUCCUGGCUCAGGACGAACGCUGGCGGCGUGCCUAAUACAUGCAAGUCGAGCGGACAGAAGGGAGCUUGCUCCCGGACGUUAGCGGCGGACGGGUGAGUAACACGUAGGUAACCUGCCCCUUAGACUGGGAUAACUCCGGGAAACCGGAGCUAAUACGGGAUAAUAAAGAGAAUCACCUGAUU